AACGCGAAGAACCUUACCCAGGUUUGACAUCCUUGGAAUUUUGCCGAAAGGCGAAAGUGCUUUAUUGAACCAAGUGACAGGUGUUGCAUGGCCGUCGUCAGCUCGUGUCGUGAGAUGUUUGGUUAAGUCCAUCAACGAGCGCAACCCUUGUAGUUAGUUGAAUUUUUCUAGCUAGACUGCCCUGGCAACAGGGAGGAAGGAGGGGAUGAUGUCAGGUCAGUAUUACCCUUAUAUCUGGGGCUACAAACACGCUACAAUGGCCAGUACAAAGGGCAGCCAAGUCGCAAGACGGAGCAAAUCCCAUCAAAGCUGGUCUCAGUUCGGAUAGCAGGCUGAAACUCGCCUGCUUGAAGUCGGAAUCGCUAGUAACGGUAGGUCAGCUAUACUACCGUGAAUACGUUCCCGGGCCUUGUACACACCGAGACUA
rnacentral:rRNA from 1 species